rnacentral:lncRNA from 1 species
UAAUUUGUUUAGUGGCCUUUUUACAAGUGUAUGCAUUUGUGAAGUAACUAUAUCUUGUAAAUAGAAUUUUGCAAAUCCUUCCGCAGGAUGCGUUACGUAUAGUGAAAUAUGGUUACGGUAAACAAACCACAUAUUUUCGAUAACGUUUGUGUCCCGAUCGAGGUGGUCAACCCUUUUUACGCUUAUUAUCCCCUAUGGGUAGCCCUAUCCCCGGAAGGUAAAAUUUCUGAAAAUUUGACUGGAGCUGCUACAUCACAUAUAUGUGAGAGUGUGUGUGAAAGAAUCCACAAAACUAGUCAAGAAGGAGAGGGUAAGAGCGUAUUCGCUUAAUUAGAUGAAGUUGAGUUAAUGUUGACCACAUUGAUCGAGACCCAAACUUUAUCAAAAUUAAUUGAAUUUUUCACCAUAUCCGUAUUUAAAUACGCUGAUCACAUCGGACGGUCGAAAUUUAAUAUUUUGAAUUUUAGACAUUGGAACCACAACAUGCAUUCUAAUGUGGUAUAACUCAUUUAGUGGCUUUUAUGCAAGUAUAUGCCUUUGUGAAGCAACUAUAUCUUAUAAAUAGAGUUUUGCAAAUCCGUCCGUAGGAUGUGUUACGUAUAGUGAAAUAUGGUUACGGUAAAACAAUCACAUAUUUUCGAUAACGUUUGGGUCCUGAUCGAGACGGUCAACCCAUUUCAUGAGCAAAUGGUUCAAACAAUCACCAAAAGUUUAAAUUUUUUGCCCAAAUAUUUGGCGGGCUGUUUCCGACCCUCAAAAUUUGGCCCAAAUUCGAACUCACUUAAGAGCCCAAUUUAUUUUGUCGCCCUAGUCUCGCACCUCAUACACUCUCUCCCUCCUCUCGCAUUCUCUGAGAAAGAGAGAAGACGAGCGACACAGGCAGGCGGUCUCGCCGUCGCUCCGCCGCCGCCUAACCUCCUCCGAGCACCUAACCCCCAUCAUUUAAACCCUCUGACUCUCUUCUUUCCAUUUAUGCCCUCAAUUCGAACAUGCAUCCAUUCCCCAUCUCAGAUUGAAAUCAUAACCCCAAGCCCCAAAUCGGAUUCAGGCGAAAUCUCUUCUUCUCCGACUUGUUCUUGCUUCAAAAAGGUAAACCCACUACUUUCCCUUCAAUUUCGAGCUCCAUUAAGCCUUGCUUUUCAGUUCUGGAACCCAAUCUCUUACUUCUCUCUUUUUCUGGGUUUCUCGACAAACCGCCACCGUCGAGUGCUCCGAUAAAGCGCCGACGAGUCCUUGUAGCUGGGCUAUUUGCUGGGCCCUAGUCUUGGAGCCUCGUGUUGGGAACAAGUUCAGACUGGGAAGGAAGAUCGGAAGCGGCUCGUUUGGGGAGAUCUAUCUCGGUUCGUUUGUUCUGAUUUUGUGGUCAAUUUUUUUUGGAUUUGGGGAUUUUGGUUGUGGUGGUUAAAUUUCUGAUCUUUUUUGAUGUAGGUACCAAUAUUUAGACGAACGAAGAGGUUGCGAUUAAGCUGGUGAGUGUUGUUAAUUGAGCUUCUGGUGUUGACUUUUGGGUUUUUGAUUCCAAUUUGGAUGUGGGAAUUGAGCUUCUGGAGUCCCACGUAUUCACAACAAUCGAAAUGUAUUCACAAAAAUCGAAGAUUAGCUUUGAUGCUUGGCAAUUGUGAGGCCGAAGUGCACAAGAUGAAUCAGAAUCACAAUCACAGUAACAAUAAGAAGGAGCCUGUAAAGCGUACUGCUGCUAAUUCUUAUCUGUUUGAAUACGGGUGUAUUGAUGAAAAUGGUUUCCGAAUUCUGAUGACUGUUAAU